UACGAAGGGGCUAGCGUUGCUCGGAAUUACUGGGCGUAAAGCGCACGUAGGCGGCUUUGUAAGUUAGAGGUGAAAGCCCAGGGCUCAACCCUGGAAUUGCCUUUAAGACUGCAUCGCUUGAACAUCGGAGAGGUAAGUGGAAUUCCGGGUGUAGCGGUGGAAUGCGUAGAGAUCCGGAAGAACACCGGUGGCGAAGGCGGUGAGCUGGGCAGUUGCUG
rnacentral:rRNA from 1 species